rnacentral:ncRNA from 1 species
CGGCCUGAGGUCGGACGAGGCUACCCGCUGAAUUUAAGCAUAUUACUAAGCGGAGGAAAAGAAACUAACGAGGAUUCCCUCAGUAACGGCGAGUGAAGCGGGACGAGCCCAGCGCCGAAUCCGGCC